rnacentral:rRNA from 1 species
UACGUAGGGGGCUAGCGUUGUCCGGAAUCAUUGGGCGUAAAGAGCGUGUAGGCGGCCCGGUAAGUCCGCUGUGAAAGUCGGGGGCUCAACCCUCGAAUGCCGGUGGAUACUGUCGGGCUAGAGUGCGGAAGAGGCGAGUGGAAUUCCUGGUGUAGCGGUGAAAUGCGCAGAUACCAGGAGGAACACCGAUUGCGAAGGCAGCUCGCUGGGACGUAACUGACGCUGAGACGCGAAAGCGUGGGGAGCAAACAGG